rnacentral:rRNA from 1 species
AUUGAACGCUGGCGGCAUGCCUUACACCAUGCAAGUCGAACGGUAACAGGUCUUCGGAUGCUGACGAGUGGCGAACGGGUGAGUAAUACAUCGGAACGUGCCCGAUCGUGGGGGAUAACGAAGCGAAAGCUUUGCUAAUACCGCAUACGAUCUACGGAUGAAAGCAGGGGACCGCAAGGCCUUGCGCGAACGGAGCGGCCGAUGGCAGAUUAGGUAGUUGGUGGGAUAAAAGCUUACCAAGCCGACGAUCUGUAGCUGGUCUGAGAGGACGACCAGCCACACUGGGACUGAGACACGGCCCAGACUCCUACGGGAGGCAGCAGUGGGGAAUUUUGGACAAUGGGCGCAAGCCUGAUCCAGCAAUGCCGCGUGCAGGAAGAAGGCCUUCGGUUGUAAACUGCUUUUGUUACGGAACGAAAAGGCUCUGGUUAAUACCUGGGGCUCAUGACGGUACCGUAAGAAUAAGCACCGGCUAACUACGUGCCAG